rnacentral:misc_RNA from 1 species
GGAAGUAAAAGUCGUAACAAGCUUUCCGUAGGUGAACCUGCGGAAGGAUCAUUAUUGUAUAACCGAGGUGCGAGGGCUGUCGCUGACCCGAAAGGUCGUGCACGCCCGAGUGCCCUCACACACAUCCAUCUCACCCCUAUGUGCACCACCGCGUGGGUCCCCCUUUGGCUUGUUCGGAGGGGGGCUUACGUUUUCACACAAACUUUGUAUGCAGUGUAGAAUGUAUUUUUUGUUUUUGCGAUCACGCAAUCAAUACUACUUUCAACAACGGAUCUCUUGGCUCUC